rnacentral:rRNA from 1 species
UUGCCCAGUAACGGCGAGUGAAGCGGCAACAGCUCAAAUUUGAAAUCUGGCCCCCAGGGUCCGAGUUGUAAUUUGCAGAGGAUGAUUUUGGCGAGGUGCCUUCCGAGUUCCCUGGAACGGGACGCCACAGAGGGUGAGAGCCCCGUCUGGUUGGACGCCGAGCCUAUGUAAAUCUCCUUCGACGAGUCGAGUAGUUUGGGAAUGCUGCUCUAAAUGGGAGGUAUAUGUCUUCUAAAGCUAAAUAUUGGCCAGAGACCGAUAGCGCACAAGUAGAGUGAUCGAAAGAUGAAAAGCACUUUGAAAAGAGGGUUAAAUAGUACGUGAAAUUGUUGAAAGGGAAGCGCUCAUGACCAGACUUGGGCCCGGUGAAUCAUCCAGCGUUCUCGCUGGUGCACUUUGCCGGGCACAGGCCAGCAUCAGUUUGCCCUGGGGGAUAAAGGCUUUGGGAAUGUGGCUCCUCCGGGAGUGUUAUAGCCCAUUGCAUAAUAUCCUGGGGCGGACUGAGGUUCGCGCAUCUGCAAGGAUGCUGGCGUAAUGGUCAUCAGCGACCCGUCUUGAAACACGGACCAAGGAGUCGUCUUCGUAUGCGAGUGUUCGGGUGUAAAACCCCUACGCGUAAUGAAAGUGAACGCAGGUGAGAGCUUCGGCGCAUCAUCGACCGAUCCUGAUGUUCUCGGAUGGAUUUGAGUAAGAGCAUACGGGGCCGGACCCGAAAGAAGGUGAACUAUGCCUGUAUAGGGUGAAGCCAGAGGAAACUCUGGUGGAGGCUCGCAGCGGUUCUGACGUGCAAAUCGAUCGUCAAAUAUGGGCAUGGGGGCGAAAGACUAAUCGAACCUUCUAGUAGCUGGGUUUCCGCCGAAGU